UACAGAGGGUGCAAGCGUUAAUCGGAAUUACUGGGCGUAAAGCGCACGCAGGUGGCUGAGUCAGUCGAUUGUGAAAGCCCUGGGCUUAACCUGGGAAUUGCAGUCGAUACUACUCAGCUAGAGUAUGGGAGAGGGUAGUGGAAUUCCCGGUGUAGCGGCGAAAUGCGUAGAUAUCGGGAGGAACAUCAGUGGCGAAGGCGGCUACCUGGCCCAAUACUGACACUCAGGUGCGACAGCGUGGGGAGCAAACAGG
rnacentral:rRNA from 1 species